UGCAGUCGAACGCUUCUUUUUCCACCGGAGCUUGCUCCACCGGAAAAAGAAGAGUGGCGAACGGGUGAGUAACACGUGGGUAACCUGCCCAUCAGAAGGGGAUAACACUUGGAAACAGGUGCUAAUACCGUAUAACAAUCAAAACCGCAUGGUUUUGAUUUGAAAGGCGCUUUCGGGUGUCGCUGAUGGAUGGACCCGCGGUGCAUUAGCUAGUUGGUGAGGUAACGGCUCACCAAGGCCACGAUGCAUAGCCGACCUGAGAGGGUGAUCGGCCACAUUGGGACUGAGACACGGCCCAAACUCCUACGGGAGGCAGCAGUAGGGAAUCUUCGGCAAUGGACGAAAGUCUGACCGAGCAACGCCGCGUGAGUGAAGAAGGUUUUCGGAUCGUAAAACUCUGUUGUUAGAGAAGAACAAGGAUGAGAGUAACUGUUCAUCCCUUGACGGUAUCUAACCAGAAAGCCACGGCUAACUACGUGCCAGCAGCCGCGGUAAUACGUAGGUGGCAAGCGUUGUCCGGAUUUAUUGGGCGUAAAGCGAGCGCAGGCGGUUUCUUAAGUCUGAUGUGAAAGCCCCCGGCUCAACCGGGGAGGGUCAUUGGAAACUGGGAGACUUGAGUGCAGAAGAGGAGAGUGGAAUUCCAUGUGUAGCGGUGAAAUGCGUAGAUAUAUGGAGGAACACCAGUGGCGAAAGGCGGCUCUCUGGUCUGUAACUGACGCUGAGGCUCGAAAGCGUGGGGGAGCAAACAGGAUUAGAUACCCUGGUAGUCCACGCCGUAAACGAUGAGUGCUAAGUGUUGGAGGGUUUCCGCCCUUCAGUGCUGCAGCUAACGCAUUAAGCACCUCCGCCUGGGGAAGUACGACCGCAAGGU
rnacentral:rRNA from 1 species